CCUACGGGAGGCAGCAGUGAGGAAUAUUGGACAAUGGACGAGAGUCUGAACCAGCCAAGUAGCGUGAAGGAUGAAUGCCCUAUGGGUGGUAAACUUCUUUUAUAAAGGAAUAAAACGAGGCACGUGUGCCUUUUUGCAUGUACUUUAUGAAUAAGGAUCGGCUAACUCCGGGCCAGCAGCCGCGGUAAUACGGAGGGUCCGAGCGUUAUCCGGAUUUAUUGGGUUUAAAGGGAGCGUAGAUGGGUUGUUAAGUCAGUUGUGAAAGUUUGCGGCUCAACCGUAAAAUUGCAAUUGAUACUGGCAGUCUUGAGUACAGUAGAGGUAGGCAGAAUUCGUGGUGUAGCGGUGAAAUGCUUAGAUAUCACGAAGAACCCCGAUUGCGAAGGCAGCUUACUAAACUGUGACUGACAUUGAUGCUCGAAAGUGUGGGUAUCAAACAGGAUUAGAUACCCGUGUAGUC
rnacentral:rRNA from 1 species